rnacentral:lncRNA from 1 species
CAGUGGCUGUCUUGAUGUCUCACAGCAGGAAGAGACUCUCUCAAAUAGGUGUACACAUGGGGAGAGAGAGAGCAAGGAGACUGAGAUACAAUCAGCCACCAGCAAGUUGUCUUGAUUUUCUGAAUGGAGCGUGGUAGCAUGUUAUAGAGUCCAAGGAAUUUGCCAAAUCCGUGUGAGAAGAUUUGCCUCUCACAUGUGAGAGAAUUUUUUGAGAAAAAAAAGAUCCUGACCCCGUCCCUCUGCCACCACCCGAGUGAGGAAGACUGACAGAGCACAUUGGCUUGCUGUGGAGACAAGAUCAGGGAAAGCGCCCCUGAAAAGAAAGCAUUUUGGAAGUCCUGAAGGAGAUUUAGAGGAAGAGUGAUAAAUCAGAAGUCUUCGUCCAAGAAUUAGCUUUGCACCAUCUACAGACCUAAGCAGCUGCAGGUAUGAUUUGUUGAUAGAGUUGACACUAUCAGAUGAAUACAGACCCAUGACCUUUAAAUACAAUUUCAUCAUUUAUUUAAAAACUACUUUCUUGAAUGAUUGAACUUACUUAUAGUAAAAAAGUAAAAAGAAAACUAUCAUCAAAAGGAUAUUGGUCACUGGGUUGGCUUCUCAUUGGUAAGUGUGAGGUUUUGAGAGUGUUAUUUGGUGACAACAUCAGCACAGGCAGUUGUG